rnacentral:rRNA from 1 species
CCUACGGGAGGCAGCAGUGGGGAAUAUUGCGCAAUGGGCGAAAGCCUGACGCAGCGACGCCGCGUGAGGGAUGAAGGUCUUCGGAUCGGAAACCUCUGUCAGCAGGGAAGAACGGUCAAUGUGCUAAUCAGCAGUGAAUUGACGGUACCUGCAAAGGAAGAACCGGCUAACUCCGUGCCAGCAGCCGCGGUAAUACGGAGGGUGCGAGCGUUAAUCGGAAUUACUGGGCGUAAGGCGCUCGUAGGCGGUAUGUCAAGUCAAGGGUGAAAUCCCCGCGCUCAACGUGGGAACUGCCUUUGAAACUGGCAAACUGGAGUGUGUGAGCGGAUAGUGGAAUUCCAGGUGUAGGAGUGAAAUCCGUAGAUAUCUGGAGGAACAUCAGUGGCGAAGGCGACUAUCUGGCACAUAACUGACGCUGAGGAGCGAAAGCGUGGGUAGCAAACAGGAUUAGAUACCCUUGUAGUC